UACGGGGGGGGCAAGCGUUGUUCGGAAUUACUGGGCGUAAAGGGCUCGUAGGCGGCCAACUAAGUCAGACGUGAAAUCCCCAGGCUCAACCUGGGAACUGCGUCUGAUACUGGAUGGCUUGAAUCCGGGAGAGGGAUGCAGAAUUCCAGGUGUAGCGGUGAAAUGCGUAGAUAUCUGGAGGAAUACCGGUGGCGAAGGCGGCAUCCUGGACCGGCAUUGACGCUGAGGAGCGAAGGCCAGGGGAGCAAACAGG
rnacentral:rRNA from 1 species